rnacentral:rRNA from 1 species
GACGAACGCUGGCGGCGGGUCUAACACAUGCAAGUCGAGAGGACGAACCAAGUGCUUGCACUUGGGAGAAACCGGCGAACGGGUGAGUAACACGUGAGGAACCUGCCCUGUACACCGGGAUAACUACGGGAAACCGUGGCUAAUACCGGAUGCUCCACCGAGAUCGCAUGGUCUUGGUGGGAAAGCUCAGGCGGUACAGGAGGGCCUCGCGGCGUAUCAGCUAGUUGGUGGGGUAAUGGCCCACCAAGGCUACGACGCGUAGCUGGAGUGAGAGCUCGAACAGCCACACUGGGACUGAGACACGGCCCAGACUCCUACGGGAGGCAGCAGUGGAGAAUCUUGCGCAAUGGGCGAAAGCCUGACGCAGCCACGCCGCGUGCGGGAAGAAGGCCUUCGGGUCGUAAACCGCUUUCAGGAGGGAAGAAGCGAAAGUGACGGUACCUCCAGAAGAAGGCCCGGCUAACUACGUGCCAGCAGCCGCGGUAAUACGUAGGGGCCGAGCGUUGUCCGGAUUUAUUGGGCGUAAAGCGCAUGUAGGCGGCCUUGUAAG